AGACAAAGGUCGUACGCUUCUUUUUCACCGGAGCUUGCUCCACCGGAAAAAGAAGAGUGGCGAACGGGUGAGUAACACGUGGGUAACCUGCCCAUCAGAAGGGGAUAACACUUGGAAACAGGUGCUAAUACCGUAUAACAAUCGAAACCGCAUGGUUUUGAUUUGAAAGGCGCUUUCGGGUGUCGCUGAUGGAUGGACCCGCGGUGCAUUAGCUAGUUGGUGAGGUAACGGCUCACCAAGGCCACGAUGCAUAGCCGACCUGAGAGGGUGAUCGGCCACAUUGGGACUGAGACACGGCCCAAACUCCUACGGGAGGCAGCAGUAGGGAAUCUUCGGCAAUGGACGAAAGUCUGACCGAGCAACGCCGCGUGAGUGAAGAAGGUUUUCGGAUCGUAAAACUCUGUUGUUAGAGAAGAACAAGGAUGAGAGUAACUGUUCAUCCCUUGACGGUAUCUAACCAGAAAGCCACGGCUAACUACGUGCCAGCAGCCGCGGUAAUACGUAGGUGGCAAGCGUUGUCCGGAUUUAUUGGGCGUAAAGCGAGCGCAGGCGGUUUCUUAAGUCUGAUGUGAAAGCCCCCGGCUCAACCGGGGAGGGUCAUUGGAAACUGGGAGACUUGAGUGCAGAAGAGGAGAGUGGAAUUCCAUGUGUAGCGGUGAAAUGCGUAGAUAUAUGGAGGAACACCAGUGGCGAAGGCGGCUCUCUGGUCUGUAACUGACGCUGAGGCUCGAAAGCGUGGGGAGCAAACAGGAUUAGAUACCCUGGUAGUCCACGCCGUAAACGAUGAGUGCUAAGUGUUGGAGGGUUUCCGCCCUUCAGUGCUGCAGCUAACGCAUUAAGCACUCCGCCUGGGGAGUACGACCGCAAGGUUGAAACUCAAAGGAAUUGACGGGGGCCCGCACAAGCGGUGGAGCAUGUGGUUUAAUUCGAAGCAACGCGAAGAACCUUACCAGGUCUUGACAUCCUUUGACCACUCUAGAGAUAGAGCUUCCCCUUCGGGGGCAAAGUGACAGGUGGUGCAUGGUUGUCGUCAGCUCGUGUCGUGAGAUGUUGGGUUAAGUCCCGCAACGAGCGCAACCCUUAUUGUUAGUUGCCAUCAUUCAGUUGGGCACUCUAGCAAGACUGCCGGUGACAAACCGGAGGAAGGUGGGGAUGACGUCAAAUCAUCAUGCCCCUUAUGACCUGGGCUACACACGUGCUACAAUGGGAAGUACAACGAGUCGCGAAGUCGCGAGGCUAAGCUAAUCUCUUAAAGCUUCUCUCAGUUCGGAU
rnacentral:rRNA from 1 species